CUAAUAAUAUUAUAAAUUGCGAUGUUACUUUACCAGACAAUGGAUACAAUCCUGACGACACUGAUGGAGAAGUAACUACUCCUAAAACAGACUUACCUCCUCCAGCUUGUUUUAAAACUUGCCUACAAUGCAGAAAAGAAAACCCCAAUCCCUACUUUCAAUACUGUUUUGUUUGUUUUCGAUAUAGAAUGGAAUUUUUCGGGAGUAAGCCUCGGCCCAAGACAAAAAAUGUCAAACGUUUAAACAUGUCCAAGC